rnacentral:sRNA from 1 species
ACUUGCUUGUAGCAGAGAAAACAUCUGCUUUUGUUCGGGAAAAAAAAAAUUCAAAAUUUGUGAAAAAUAAAGAAAAAUCGUUUUUGGAAAAAAAUUUCGGUAAAAGUGAAUAAAAUUCAAAGUUAAAUAUAAAUUUUUCGUUGUUGGAAAUACUCGUAAAUUUCCUUUCAUAGUGCGCAUAAAGUGAGAACAAGUUCUGAUAACCUAUCGUUUGCUUCUAGUGUACUCUCGUACUUACAUAUAUCAAGGAUAUUUCUUAUUUUACUACAUGAGUGCAUGACUUGUGUAUGUUUCCAGGCUGCUGCUGCAUUUCGAUUGACAUUAGACACAACAGAUUGACAAACGAUAACGUGAAAUAGUUCCAAAUGGUAACGAAAUUUUCGAAAUUUGUCUGUCAUUAUGGAUGAACAACAAGUCCCCAACGCAACAUUAGUUUACAUUUUUAAUCAUCUUUAAUACUGACACCAGGCGUACACACUUUGUAUGAGUCUUUGCAAUGCAGCUUACAUUCAACAAGACAACGACUACCUAUACUUCAAUACUUCAAUACCAAAUUGCGGCGGUCAUUAUUGAUGCUUACACUUUAGAUUUAAUUGAAUGUGAAAUUAUUAUAUACUGGCGUGCAGCCCCUGCCCUCUAACAAAAAACUAAUGAACACAGUUCGGUGUGGUACCGGUGCCUCAUACACAGGACGAGCAGAUUGCACCCGCAACUUUUCUUUUAGGUGUGACAAUACAUCUAAUUUCAAAACAGGGAAUACUCUAAUACAAAUAUUCCACAUACACCGCAAGUGCCAUGAACAAUAAAUAAUAUAUUUUAUAA